CCUUGUCUGUCUGACUGACGUCGCUUUUGGAUGUCUGGAGUUUUAGGGUUAGCAUAAUGCUUUAGAGUUGCAUAUAGGGUUCUUUUUGUUUCCGUCUGUCUUUUUUUGUGGUUAAAACUUUACGAGGUUGUGUUUGCAAAAGGGCCUACAGCUCUGACCCUGAGUGGCUCGCGGGAAACACGUGAUGCCAUUAAACUAAAUUUUAUGGUUUGGGAGAGCUGACAAACCUUCCUCUCAAUGUAUUUACAUCAUAUAUAAUCUUAACUGUCGUGAAUCCCAGCUGUUGGGAACCGUUAUCUAAGUGGAUGGAGGCGAAUGACGCGUUUACUGAGGAUUAUCUUGCCCCCAACGAUCAGCACUCUUCUUUGACUCAAGCAAAUGGUUCCCAGACGGUACAGCACACACUCUGCAAUGAUCACUGAAGAGAAAGCGUGUUUGCCUAUAACUACAGACAAUUCCCAUCCCCUUUGAACAGCCACCAUAUCACGUGGGCACUGGGAACCUAUGAGGAAUUUUACUUGAGGGCUCCUCUUGACCAGACCUUCUUGAGAAAUGUUGGCAGAGAACCAGUCAGACCUGACAAGAAACUCAAUUUAGAGGCUGGCCAUGCAGCCAUAAUGGUCAUGUUGUCUCUUGACAAUUUGGGUUUUGGAAUCACAUUUUAAAUUACAGCUGAUUGGCCAAAAUGUGUGUAUUCACAAACACAUCAUUCAGAUGUCAUAGUCAUUUAACCACUGUGCAUAUGUUUAAAACAUAUUUCAUAGAAUUACAGAGGAACAAAUCUUUUAAUUUGUAAUUACAUUUUUUAAUCUUUCAAAACCCUCAAAUCUAACCCAACUCCAACCAACAAACAUGAACAUUCACUUUGUCACUUUAUUAUAACCAUGUAAUGUAGCAUUUGAAUGCAAAAGAAGAUAUCCGAAAUGGAUGUUUACAUGUGUAAAAAUGUUAGGCUAAAUAAAUGUUAUAAUUAAUAGCCUCUGAAUGUGCCAUCCUUCGUUCCUUUUAAACAAUCAUGAUAAUAAAACAUUAAAAUGAA